rnacentral:rRNA from 1 species
CCUACGGGUGGCAGCAGUGGGGAAUAUUGGACAAUGGGCGAAAGCCUGAUCCAGCCAUGCCGCGUGUGUGAAGAAGGCCUUCGGGUUGUAAAGCACUUUCAGUGGGGAAGAAAGCCUUGGGGCUAAUACCCUCGAGGAAGGACAUCACCCACAGAAGAAGCACCGGCUAACUCCGUGCCAGCAGCCGCGGUAAUACGGAGGGUGCGAGCGUUAAUCGGAAUUACUGGGCGUAAAGCGCGCGUAGGCGGUCUGAUAAGCCGGUUGUGAAAGCCCCGGGCUCAACCUGGGAACGGCAUCCGGAACUGUCAGGCUAGAGUGCAGGAGAGGAAGGUAGAAUUCCCGGUGUAGCGGUGAAAUGCGUAGAGAUCGGGAGGAAUACCAGUGGCGAAGGCGGCCUUCUGGACUGACACUGACGCUGAGGUGCGAAAGCGUGGGUAGCAAACAGGAUUAUACCCCAGUAGUC